rnacentral:rRNA from 1 species
UACGGGGGGGGCAAGCGUUGUUCGGAAUUACUGGGCGUAAAGGGUUUGUAGGUGGCUCGCUAAGUCAGACGUGAAAUCCCUCAGCUUAACUGGGGAACUGCGUCUGAAACUGAUGAGCUUGAGUGCAGGAGAGGAACGCGGAAUUCCAGGUGUAGCGGUGAAAUGCGUAGAUAUCUGGAGGAACACCGGUGGCGAAGGCGGGUCGCU